GGUUAUAGCUCAGUUGGUAGAGUGCUUGUCUUGCAUGCAUAAGUCCCUGGGUUCAAUCCCCAGCACCA
rnacentral:tRNA from 1 species